GAUGAACGCUGGCGGUCUGCUUAACACAUGCAAGUCGAACGGAAUCUUUCGGGAUUUAGUGGCGGACGGGUGAGUAACGCGUGAGAAUCUGCUUCAGGUUCGGGACAACAGUUGGAAACGGCUGCUAAUACCGGACGUGCCGAGAGGUGAAACUUAAGUGCCUGGAGAUGAGCUCGCGUCUGAUUAGCUAGUAGGAGUGGUAACGGCACCCCUAGGCGACGAUCAGUAGCUGGUCUGAGAGGAUGAUCAGCCACACUGGGACUGAGACACGGCCCAGACUCCUACGGGAGGCAGCAGUGGGGAAUUUUCUGCAAUGGGCGCAAGCCUGACGGAGCAAGACCGCGUGAGGGAAGAAGGUCUGUGGAUUGUAAACCUCUUUUGAUAGGGAAGAAGACAGUGACGGUACCUAUCGAAUCAGCCUCGGCUAACUCCGUGCCAGCAGCCGCGGUAAUACGGAGGAGGCAAGCGUUAUCCGGAAUUAUUGGGCGUAAAGAGUCCGUAGGUGGGUCACCAAGUCAGUUGUUAAAUAGUGAAGCUUAACUUCAUAGAGGCGACUGAAACUGGUGGUCUAGAGUGUGGUAGGGGUAGAGGGAAUUCCAGUGUAGCGGUGAAAUGCGUAGAUAUUGGAAGAACACCGGUGGCGAAAGCGCUCUACUGGGCUGCACUGACACUGAGGGACGAAAGCUAGGGGAGCGAAAGGGAUUAGAUACCCCUGUAGUCCUAGCCGUAAACGAUGGAUACUAGGCGUUGCCCG
rnacentral:rRNA from 1 species